UUGUGUUUUGAUGUUUUGUCGCGUGACUUUUUGCUAAAUUUUGCUUAAGCUUAAAAUUUGUAUGCUUAAUUUAACAAGCUGAUUGCUCAAUAAUAUUUUCUCCAGCAUCAUUUGAGACCAUAACCAACCCAGAAUAUAUUACUAAUAUGCUAUCUUGUUAACCUGGAAAUUUUCUUCUUAGUACAAUUGAUAAUCCAUUCAGGAACUCCAACUAAUCAAGCAUCACUUGAUAUAAUCCAUUUAGGAACUCCAACCAACCAAACAUCACUUGAUAUAAUUUAUUCAGGAACUCCAACCAACCAAACAUCACUUGAUAUAAUCUAUUCAGGAACUCCAACCAACCAAAGAAAAUUUAAAAUAUGCUACUAGUUUUAUCUGGAAAUUAUGAUUAUUCAAUAAAUCAAUUAAUUUUUUUAAAGCAAAAUGCCCAAUAUAAAUUUAUAAAAUCUAAAUUUAAUAAAAAUCUACUAUUUUCUAAUAAUUAUUUAUAUUCUCAAAAUAGAGAAAACUAUUAUAUGUAUACCAAUGACAUAUGUCAUUGAUGCUUACAUAGAUAUUUAUUAAUUAUUAGGUUUUUACCUGAAAAUUCACAUCACUCUUUAUUAAUAUUAUGAUCAUGCUGUUAAAAUUUUUUAUACCAAAUUUACACCAUUUUAUAUAAUAUUGAUAUGCAAAAAGUAAUUACCAUAAUUUUAUAUAUUACUAUUGAAAUACAAAUUGCAAUCAUUAUUUUAUAUACCACCUAUUGAUAUACAAAUUGUAAUCAUUUUAUAAACAAUUAAUAUUCAAUUGCAAUAUAUACAAAUAUUUAUACACCACCA